rnacentral:misc_RNA from 1 species
GUAAAUUUCUGCAAAAUUUUAGCAAAAGUGGAAACUACUGAAACGAAUCAAUGAACCCAAAAAUUUAACUAUAAGAAUAUGCUCAUCAAUGCAUAUAUACAAAAGCUGUGGUGGAAAAUAUACAACAAAAAUAGGGUAAAACAAAGGCCCCAAAUCAAUAAACAGACAGAAGGCCUGAUUUGUCCUCUUCUUGAAAGAGCAAUAACGAAAGUAACGACUGGAAAUGGAAAUUGAAGUUGCAAACAAGAACAGAAAUAACUACUAAAAGGGACUUCAGAAACAAAAAAAGAAUUGGAAGGAGGCUUACAUGGCAGAGAUGGUUCCUUCCCAU